rnacentral:tmRNA from 1 species
GGGGGCGAAAGGGCUCGACGGGGGUUAUGAGGCUCAGGUUGCAUGUCGUGGUUCCGUCGCCACGUAAAAAGGCGGAAACAAACACAAACGCCAAUAACGAACUGGCACUAGCUGCUUAAUUAACUAAGCAGCCGCUGCCCUGAAA